rnacentral:hammerhead_ribozyme from 1 species
CACUGGUUGAGAGCUGGUACCGCUCUCCUGAUGAGUCCAUCCAAGCAGGACAAAACCAGUG